UACGUAUGGGGCGAGCGUUGUCCGGAAUUAUUGGGCGUAAAGGGUGCGUAGGUGGUUUCUUAAGUCAGAGGUGAAAGGCUACGGCUCAACCGUAGUAAGCCUUUGAAACUGGGAAACUUGAGUGCAGGAGAGGAGAGUGGAAUUCCUAGUGUAGCGGUGAAAUGCGUAGAUAUUAGGAGGAACACCAGUUGCGAAGGCGGCUCUCUGGACUGUAACUGACACUGAGGCACGAAAGCGUGGGGAGCAAACAGGAUUAGAUACCCUGGUAGUCCCUGAG
rnacentral:rRNA from 1 species